GCAAGUAUACCUAUAGUAUAUUACUUUUUACUGAGAGAAUAUCUUAAAUAUACUUUAAAAUAAAACAACAUUUCAUUGACAUCUAACAAAUCUGAACUACUCAACCUCUUAAAUCCUUUUGUUGUCAUAUGGAUUUGAAUCUAAAGGUGUGUCGUUUACUCUAAAGUCGUCCUUUGUUCGUCUUACAGAAAACCUACACCCUUGGGUUUGGGAUCUGCAGCGUCACAAUGGAUCACACAGUGACAGCAGGCAGACGUGACUGAAGGUGAUCCGAGCCACGGCAGAGGUCAGAGGUCGGCUCGCUGCUAAUGAUUACCUGGUGAAGCGUGCUGCCUCGGUUUUAGUGUUUGUUUGUGUUGCCAUGGCGACGGCCCAGCCCUGCUGUUCAACUUUAUUUCUUUGUUAGGGAAAUAAAAACUGUGUUUUUGAGACUAGUUUUACACCUGUUGAUUCUAAAAAUUUAAUUACAUUUAAUAAUAUACAAAAACAGACACAAAAUAUAUUCAUUACAUAUAAAACAAGACUUUUUCCUUAAAAAAAAAAAGAAUUUUCUCAGAUUUAAAUGAAAUAUUGAGGCCCAAGCAUGAAUUGGAUAAAAUGCUGCCACGAUUUUUUAAAGUGUGUUAUUUUUUUUCCAUGUUUGAUUUUCUGUCACACUUUCUGUUGUGGUUCUUUCUUGCUGAAUUGUUUGGUGACAUGGAGCCAUCUGUGUUGCUGCGUUUCCCUUUGAGACCGGGUCGGAUUGACGUAAGGGGAGGAGCUCUGGAUCGAUGGAUCACAUGGAGUCGGGAGCUGAUCCCAGAUGUUAGCCGGCAAAGGAAAACUGAAGAAGGUCUUUGGAUCAUCACAAUAAAGGAAACAAAAACACAUAGA